rnacentral:rRNA from 1 species
AGCAGCCGCGGUAAUUCCAGCUCCAAUAGCGUAUAUUAAAGUUGUUGCAGUUAAAAAGCUCGUAGUUGAAUUUCGGGAUCAAUGUUUCGGUCAUGCCCUUGGUAUGUACUGAUAUUAUUGGUUUCUCACCUUCUAAGGAACCGUAAUGCCAUUAAUUUGGUGUCACGGGGAAUUAGGUCUGUUACCUUGAAAAAAUUAGAGUGUUUAAAGCGGGCUCACGCUUGAAUACAUUAGCAUGGAAUAAUGAAAUAGGACAUCCGAUUCUAUUUUGUUGGUUUCUAGGAUCGAUGUAAUGAUUAAUAGGGAUAGUUGGGGGCAUUAGUAUUCAAUUGCCAGAGGUGAAAUUCUUGGAUUUAUUGAAGACUAACUACUGCGAAAGCAUUUGCCAAGGAUGUUUUCAUUAAUCAAGAACGAAAGUUAGGGGAUCGAAGACGAUCAGAUACCGUCGUAGUCUUAACCAUAAACUAUGCCGACUAGGGAUCGGAUGAUGUUAAUUUUUUAAUGACUCA